AGGAAGCUGAUUUGCAUGAAGGCCCUGCCCCCACUCAUGGCUCUGGGAGGCAUCAAAAGGCCCGAGGGCCCCACCAUCCAGCCCAGGAGGCUGAGGAGGCCGCGUCCCAGGAGUGUCCCCACCAUGGCCUGGACGGUGCUUCUGAUCGGGCUCCUCGCUGUCGGCUCAGGGGUGGAUUCUCAGACUGUGAUCCAGGAGCCGGCGAUGUCAGUGUCUCCUGGAGGGACCGUCACACUCACCUGUGCCUUUAGCUCUGGGUCAGUCACUACUAGUAACUACCCCAGCUGGUUCCAGCAGACACCAGGCCAGCCUCCCCGACAGCUGAUCUACCAAACAAACAGCCGCCCGACUGGGGUCCCCAGUCGCUUCUCUGGAGCCAUCUCUGGGAACAAAGCCGCCCUCACCAUCACGGGGGCCCAGGCUGAGGACGAGGCCGACUAUUUCUGUGCUCUGUAUAAAAGUAGUACUAAUGCCACAGUGAUGUAAACCCAUGGGGAAGUG